rnacentral:rRNA from 1 species
UACGUAGGGUGCGAGCGUUAUCCCGGAAUUAUUGGGCGUAAAGAGCUCGUAGGCGGUUUGUCACGUCUGCUGUGAAAUCCCGAGGCUCAACCCCGGACUUGCAGUGGGUACGGGCAGACUAGAGUGUGGUAGGGGAGACUGGAAUUCCUGGUGUAGCGGUGAAAUGCGCAGAUAUCAGGAGGAACACCGGUGGCGAAGGCGGGUCUCUGGGCCCGAUACUG